UACAACAACAACAACAACAACAAACCCAGUGUAUUCCCACUUAGUGGGGUCUGGGGGGGGGGUAAGAUGUACGCAGUCCAUACCUCUACCUCUGAUGAGGUAGAAAGGCUGUUUCCGAAAGACCCCCGGCUCAAGUCACGAGACAUCAUACAAACACAUAGUACAGCACAGAAGCAGAUGACGUAACAUAGAUACGGCACCCAUAAAGAAUAUAGAACAGAGUAAAGCAGGAAUGCAGGAAUAUAAAGCAGAGGCAAGCACACAUAUUCGUAAUAAACAUGGAACACGGGACACGGAACACUACAGA
rnacentral:lncRNA from 1 species